rnacentral:rRNA from 1 species
AUUGAAGGCUGGCGGCAUGCCUUACACAUGCAAGUCGAACGGGGACAGGUUAAGCUGUCGAGUGGCGAACGGGUGAGUAAUGUAUCGGAACGUGCCCAGUCGUGGGGGAUAACUGCUCGAAAGAGCAGCUAAUACCGCAUACGACCUGAGGGUGAAAGCGGGGGAUCGCAAGACCUCGCGCGAUUGGAGCGGCCGAUAUCCGAUUAGGUAGUUGGUGAGGUAAAGGCUCACCAAGCCGACGAUCUGUAGCUGGUCUGAGAGGACGAGCAGCCACACUGGGACUGAUACACGCUCCAUACUCCUACGGGAGGCAGCAGUGGGAAAUUCUGGACGAUGUCAGGAAUCCUGAUCCAGCCAUGCCGCGCGAGGGAAGAAGGCCUUCGUGUUGUAAACCGCAUUUGUCAGUGAAGAAAAGGAUCUGGCUAAUACCCGGGACUUAUGACGGUACCUGAAGAAUAAGCACCGGCUAACUGCGUG